AGAGUUUGAUCAUGGCUCAGGAUGGACGCUAGCUACAGGCUUAACACAUGCAAGUCGAGGGGAAACGAUAUUGGAAGCUUGCUUCCGAUAGGCGUCGACCGGCGCACGGGUGAGUAACGCGUAUCCAACCUGCCCACCACUUGGGGAUAACCUUGCGAAAGUAAGACUAAUACCCAAUGAUAUCUCUAGAAGACAUCUGAAAGAGAUUAAAGAUUUAUCGGUGAUGGAUGGGGAUGCGUCUGAUUAGCUUGUUGGCGGGGUAACGGCCACCAAGGCGACGAUCAGUAGGGGUUCUGGAGAGGAACGGUCCCCCACAUUGGAACUGAGACACGGUCCAAACUCCGUACGGGAGGCA
rnacentral:rRNA from 1 species